UCACUCCCAUUCUAACAAGGAGAAAAAGCCGGAUAAGCUACAACUCCGUCAAGUCAGAAUCCAAUACUUAGAGAAAACAUUUUUCAAUAUGAAGGUGAAAUAAAGACUCUCUCAGAAAUUUCGCACCAAGCUGGUGGGUAAUCCCCAUGUCGGUGUGACGUGCUAGCUCGGAAGUGUUUUCUGCUGCUGUCAUGGUUCGUCCGCUAAACUCAUCGUUGCUGUGUCCUAGAACACAGAACAUCGGCAAGAUCGGGGACGAACCAUCGUCAAGAACGGGGACCUGCCCUGGCCUCCGCUCAGGAAUGAAUACAGGUAUUUCCAAAAAGUGACCACAACUUCUUCAGUAAAAGGUAAACAGAAUUUGGUGAUUAUUGGUAGGAAGACCUGGUUCUCCAUUCCAGAGAAGAAUCGAUCUUUAAAGGACAGAAUUAAUAUAGUUCUCAGUAGAGAACUCAAGGAACCUCCACAGGGAGCUCAUUUUCUUGCCAAAAGUCUGCAUGAUGCCUUAAAACUUAUUGAGCAACCAGAAUUAACAAAUAAAGUGGACAUGGUUUGGAGAGUGGAACACAGUUCCGUUUACAAGGAAGCCAUGAACAGGCCAGGCCAUCUUCGACUAUUUGUGACAAGGAUCAUGCAGGAAUUUGAAAGUGACACAUUUUUUCCAGAAACUGAUUUGGAAAAAUAUAAACUUCUCCCAGAAUAUCCAGGUGUUCCUUCUGAUGUCCAGGAGGAGAAAGGCAUUAAGUACAGAUUUGAAGAAUAUGAAAAGAACAGUUAAUAUGAAAGUGUUUUCUGAUCUAUUUCAAGCCUCUUCCUCCCCCUGCAAAAAAAAAAUUAUGUAUUUUUUGUUGUAAAGACUUUUGUUGACUUUAGAUCUACGGAUAAUUAUUUCUAAGCAAAGUACCUUUAUUCCCCAUUAAUCUUAACUAGACUGUACCAGAUACCAUUUGUGAAACAUUUCUUGCUGUAACUGCCUGAAUGCCCAUCAAAGGUCAAGAAUAGGUUAUCAGCACCUGCCUAGGGUAGAAUAUCUACCAAGACAGCCCAAAGUGGGAGAGUGCCCUGGUAGCAUAAGUUGAAACCAGAGCCUAUAGAGCUAGGAGCUAGGCAGAUGGGUCCAAAGGUCAGAAAUAGAUUAUAAAUAGAAGAGCUAGCACUCAGUUAUUAAAAUUAGAUCAAAAGAGGGACCAUGAAUUACUCUAUAUCACACUUGUGAAAAAUAUUCUGUUCACUCAGACCGGGAGUCAAUAAGUUGAGAAUGCCAGGAUAUUCCACACGAAUAGUAAAGAGGCAGGUAUGACACUACCUUUUCGGUGGUUAAAAGAGAAGGUCUGAGACCUCAAAAGACUUUGUUUUUUAUCUUCAGUGAGAUUCCAUGGGAUGUUACAAUGAUAAAACAAGAAUUGGCUGCUCUUUACA